AGUAGCGUGGCCGAGUGGUCUAAGCAGCUGGAUUAAGGCUGCAGUCUCUUUGGGGGCGUGGGUUCGAAUCCCACUGCUGCCU
rnacentral:tRNA from 1 species